rnacentral:rRNA from 1 species
GCUUAGAGUUUGAUCCUGGCUCAGGAUGAACGUUGGCGGCGUGCCUGAGAUAUGCAAGUCGAGCGAUCCCGACGUAAGUCGGGGAGCGGCGGACGGCUGAGUAACACGUAGGAAUCUACCCCUUUCUGGACCAUAGUUCGUCGAAAGACGGAGUAAUUGUCCAUGGUAUCCGACGUUACGUCGGAUUAAAGAGAUUAACUUCUCGGAAAGGGAUGAGCCUGCGGCUUAUCAUGGUAGUUGGUAAGGUAACGGCUUACCAAGCCUACGACGAGUAGCUGGCCUGAGAGGGUGGUCAGCCAGAGGGGGACUGAGACACGGCCCCCACUCCUACGGGAGGCAGCAAUCAGGAAUAGUCGGCAAUGGGCGAAAGCCUGACCGCGCGACGCCGCGUGUAGGAAGAAGCUCUUACAGAGUGUAAACUACUGUAGUAGGAGAGGAAGUCUCGACUUAGUCGGGAUUGACAGUACCCUACUAGAAAGGGGCCGCUAACUGCGUGCCAGAAGCGUCGGUAAUACGUGGGCCCCAAACGUUAUCCGGUUUUACUGGGUGUAAAAGGUCGUGUAGGUGUUCUGGUAAGUUUUUGUUUAAAGACUAAGGCUUAACCUUAGGAAAGACAAAAAUACUACCAGAAUUGAGUUAUCUUUAGGGAGAUUGGAACUCAAGGAGGAGUAGUGAAAUGCGUUGAUACCUUGGGGAUCACCAGUGGCGAAGGCGAAUCUCUGGAAGAUAACUGACACUGAGACACGAAAGCUAGGGGAGCGAAGCAGAUUAGAGACCUGCGUAGUCCUAGCCUUAAACGCAUGCUUGCUAGCCGCAUUCCCCGACUAUACGUCGGGGGGUGUAGCGAAGGUAACCCGUUAAGCAAGCUACCUGGGGAGUACGACCGCAAGGUUAAAACUCAAAGGAAUUGGCGGGGAGGCACACAACCAGUGGAACAUGUGGUUCAAUUCGAUACAAACCGAAGAACCUCACCAAGAUUUGACAUGCUAGCGUCCUAUUUCGCAGAAAUGCGGAAAAUUCGCAAGAAGGCUAGCACAGGUGCUGCAUGGCUGUCGUCAGCUCGUUCCGUGAGGAGUACCCUUAAGUGGGACAACGAGCGCAACCCUUGUCUUGUGUUAAAUCUGUCACAAGAUACUGCCCCGACGUAACGUCGGGGAGGAAGGAAAGGCAGACGUCAAGUCAGCAUGGUCCUUAUAUCUUGGGCUACACACAUGUUACAAUGAGAUGAACAGCGGGCUUUGCCAAACGGUAACGUUUUAGCAAAUCCCACAAAUCAUCUCUCAGUGGGGAUUGAGGUCUGCAACCCGACCUCAUGAACACGGAAUUGGUAGUAAUCGCGGAUCAGUCAUGUCGCGGUGAAUACGUUCUUGCCUCUUGCACACACCGCCCGUCAAGCCAACAAAGUCGGUGAUAUUCGAAUUCCGAUUUAAUCGGGAGAGAAUAUUGUCGGCGAUGGGGGUUAAGUCGUAACAAGGUAACCAAGCC